rnacentral:rRNA from 1 species
UGGGGAAUAUUGCACAAUGGGGGAAACCCUGAUGCAGCGACGCCGCGUGAACGAAGAAGGUAUUCGUUUCGUAAAGUUCUGUCCUAUGGGAAGAUAAUGACAGUACCAUAGAAGAAAGCUCCGGCUAAAUACGUGCCAGCAGCCGCGGUAAUACGUAUGGAGCGAGCGUUGUCCGGAAUUAUUGGGCGUAAAGGGUACGCAGGCGGUUUAAUAAGUCGAAUGUUAAAGAUCGGGGCUCAACCCCGUAAAGCAUUGGAAACUGAUAAACUUGAGUAGUGGAGAGGAAAGUGGAAUUCCUAGUGUAGUGGUGAAAUACGUAGAUAUUAGGAGGAAUACCAGUAGCGAAGGCGACUUUCUGGACACAAACUGACGCUGAGGUACGAAAGCGUGGGGAGCAAACAGG